AUUGAACGCUGGCGGCAGGCCUAACACAUGCAAGUCGAACGAGUGGCGGACGGGUGAGUAAUGUCUGGGAACCUGCCCGACGGAGGGGGAUAACUACUGGAAACGGUAGCUAAUACCGCAUACCAUCGGAUGUGCCCAGAUGGGAUUAGCUAGUAGGUGGGGUAAAGGCACACCUAGGCGACGAUCCCCAGCUGGUCUGAGAGGAUGACCAGCCACACUGUGACUGAGACACGGUCCAGACUCCUACGGGAGGCAGCAGUGGGGAAUAUUGCGCAAUGGGCGCAAGCCUGAUGCAGCCAUGCCGCGUGUAUGAAGAAGGCCUUCGGGUUGUAAAGUACUUUCAGCAGGGAGGCGUUACCCGCAGAAGAAGCACCGGCUAACUCCGUGCCAGCCGCCGCGGUAAUAC
rnacentral:rRNA from 1 species